GUAAAGAUUUUUUCUCUCUCUUCUCUCCCUCUCUCUCUCGUACGCUCUUCUCUCCCUCUCACUCUCUCGUACGCUCUUCUCUCCCUCCUCUCUGCCUCAUCUCAUCCUUCACCAUAACAUCCACCACAACCCCCCACCACCACCUACAAAUCAAUCACUCGUCAGAGGGAGGGAGUGGCCGAGUGAGAGAAGAUUUGCCGGGGAGGGAAGUUCCGGUGAGGAAGAGAGAGUUCCGGCCGUGAUAGAUAGUUCCGGUGGUGGUUCGCGGCGGUGUUUGGCGACGGCGAUGCUUAUUGCUCCUUCGUUCCUCUGGUUUGAUCUUAGUUUCUAUACUAUAUUUAUUUUUAUUUUUUUCGUUGCUUUUUUUUUUUGCUGGUGAAGAUGUUGAAGAUUGGAGGUGGUGGUGAUGUGUAGUGGUUAUGUUGGAUGGCGAUGUGUAGUGGUUAUGUUGGAUGGCUCCAUGGAAGGAUAAGGCUCCUCCAGUCCUCCACCUUCCUCCAAGCUAGCCAAAUCUGGUGGUGGCAAGCAGAAGAAGGUUCGUUUUUCUCUUCAAAGUUUUUUUUUAAAUUUUUUUUUUCUGUAAAAGUUUAUUUUUUGACAAUUUGGUGUUCUCUUGGAUUGAUCGGCUGCGGUGAAACUAAGUGGAAUGUCUGAAAGAGCUUAUAUUAGAUCCUAUAAUUCACUUCACAAUGGCAUCGGAGUCAAGUUGAAGCUAGAUGUGAGAGAAUUGGCGAUUCAAUUCGGUUGUGUUCGGAUUAUACCUUAUGUUCGUGACGGUCUUAAGCUGUAAGUUAUUGAUUUUGUGGUUUUAAUAAUGUCUGCUACAUGUUUGAUGAAAUGCUAUUGAAAAAAAACACUAAAAUGUGUUGCUGAAAAUCGCCGUGCUUUUACUCGUCCGGUGUUUAUGGCUGUUGCUUUUUAUUUAUGUGCAAAGAAACACAAGGUACAUUUGUAAUAAUCUCAAUACAAACACAUGGCAUGUGGUUAUAUAUUGUAAUGACAUGAUUUGUGAUUGUUCUUUGCUUGUGUUUCUGAUUCAUGAGAUUAUUGUGCAGAAAGGGCAACUGGGUCAUGGAGAUACCAUUCAGCGUGAUAGGACGACUGUGGUGUCUGAACUAUCAAAAUACAAAAUUGUUCAAGCUGGAGCUGGGAGGAGCCAUACGGUAGUUGUUACGGAUGAUGGAAAUUCCGUAGCAUUUGGAUGGAACAAACAUGGACAGCUAGGUUCCGGUUCUGCAAAAACUGGAUGGCUCCUGCAACGGUUUACAACAUUAUGCUGCUUUAGGAAGAGACAAGGUUCACAAAAUUACGGUUUGAUUGUGUAAGUUUUCUAAACUUUAUUUGAUUGUAUUUGAGUAAUAUUUAGCUGAUGUUUGAGAUUUGAGUAAGUUUUCGUUUCAGAAUUUAACUCUCUCUAUUACUUUCUAUGGUGUUUGUCAUUUAUCUCCAUCAUAUAUUAGGAGGAGAAAGUUGCAUUAGGAGGCUAUCCUACUAAAUUUGUUUGUUGAAUUGCUCUCCCGGACAUUUUUAACACAUUCAUUUUUUUGAAGGGCGAGUAACGAGAAUGAAGUUGGAAAGUUGCUAUUAACUAUUAUUGAGAAAAUGUAGCAAGAUUAGCAAUGCCAUGAUGAAGGAGUGGCUUGCAAUGUUUUUCCUUAGCAUUCUGAUUUACAAGAAGUCGAUGCAAAAGGUUCAAAAUGGAGAGCUCUGCUAGAAGCAGGACUCAAAUUGUGUGUUACACCCUAAUAGCAGCAGCUACAAAGUCCUUUUUAUCAGGCAGGGAAGAUACAAUUGGAGAUCGAAUGGCAGGUUCCAAUUGGAUGUCUCCUUAUUUUUUAUAAGAAAUCAGGAGUAUUCCUUAUCUUUGGCGACGAUCGAAUGCUUGCGGUGGCUCAUGGUCGCGGUGUAUAUUGUGAUGAUGAAGGUGUAGCUUACGGUGAUGGUUUAUGCGGUGCAUAUGUUGCCUUCAAUGAUUUCAGAUUACAAAUUUUUGUUCAUCUUCAAAUCUUGAUCUUGACGUUUCUGCAAGCGAAGUUGCUGAUGGUGAAGAGGGUUCUCCAGAAGAACAUGAUGACUUUUGGAUGAAACUUAAACUCAUUCAGUCAUCCAAAUUCAUUAUAGAAGAAGGCCAUAUAUUUUCAAGGAGGGACGUUUAAGUCAAACCAGUUCUCUAAGCUAGCAUUUGAAAAUAAAUUAUCAGUUGAAGAGAAUUCUAUUAUCUGACUAAUUUGUAAUUUGGAGAUAGUAUGUAUCAGAAAAUCGAUUACUUAUUUGUACAUUUCGUUUUGAUUAUGUAAUUGGAUAUCUUAUAAUACAUAAAUUGGGUCCAGAAUAUAGCUACACUUUUUUUAA